rnacentral:tRNA from 21 species
CCGCCACUAGCUCAGCAGGACAGAGCAAAUAACCCCGAGGUUGUAGGUGCGAGGUUCGAGGCCUCGGUGGCGGACCA